rnacentral:misc_RNA from 1 species
AAGUCGUAACAAGGUUUCCGUAGGUGAACCUGCGGAAGGAUCAUUAACACGUAUCCAACGUUAAAACAACCCCCGUGAACUUUCAGCUUAUCAUUGUUGACCAGCUUUUGAGUCAGGGACCUCUGCCGAUUGUGAUAUUUUAUAGCUACGGUUGAGCGAUUGCAUCUAGUGACCUGGCAUCCCCAAGUAAUCAGUGUCUGAAAGUGUCAUUGAUUAUGUAAGGAUGGCGCAGUCACGAUCGCUGUAGGCCCACACGGCCGGCGACCGGGUCACCGGGCUCUGCCCCUUUACGACAACACAGUACGAAUUGGCCGCGCGUGAAAUUCGCACGGCACCAAAAACCGAACAACUGUUAACAAUGGAUAUCUUGGUUCUC